UGUGUGAGACAGCAGGGAGGGGGUUAAAAACCUCCCUGAAGAAAAAAUGGCACCUUUUUGUAUUGUUUAAUUGUAUUGCUUUUCUGUUAAUUAGUUUUUGUUAAUUGUUUUAUUAUGUAUUAUCCCCUGCACCCGGGGGUGAUUAAAAAUUAGAACCGGGUGCAGGGUAUUUAAGACGUGUAGCCAGGCUGCACGAGGCUGCUGAGUAGAAGGAGGCAGAAGGAAGGUGCUCUGCUUCCGAGCAGUCCUAAAAGUUCAGCGUUCUGGGAUUCGAAUGACAACUUGGUCUGGCUUGGCGCCUGCUGCUCCAGCUGGACUCACAGUGUGUGGGGAGAAGUUCAGUCUUCAUGCCUGAAGCCUGUGCGGGACUGGAGAGUCCAUCCUUUCUCUUAG